ACGAAACAUUUGGGGUGCACAAACGCUGAGAUUAUACCCAUUGAACCUGAUACGGCUAACACCGGCGCAGGAAAAUGUGAAAUGAUUUUU
rnacentral:ncRNA from 2 species